UCUCCAGCCUGUCCAGGUCUCUGGGUGGCAGCACAACCCUCUGGUAUAUCAGCCUGCCAAGGGAGAAUCAAGGUGUUCUGCUGCUGAGCCAACAACCAUGUCGAACCCCCUCCUCAGGUGCCAAGCCAUGACCACCUCCCUCCCAUUAGGUAUGGUGAGAGAACUUUACACCAAUCAGAA